UUCGUAGUUGGAUUUCUGUUAAUAAUUUAUAUAAAAUAUUUUGAUGAAUAUUUAUAUAAUAUUAACAUAAUUCAUAUUACUAUUUUUUUUUUUAGUAUAUGAAAUUUUACUUUGAGAAAAUUAGAGUGCUUAAAGCAGGCAUAUGCCUUGAAUACUCCAGCAUGGAAUAAUAUUAAAGAUUUUUAUCUUUUUUAUUGGUUCUAAGAUAAGAAUAAUGAUUAAUAGGGACAGUUGGGGGCAUUUGUAUUUAACAGUCAGAGGUGAAAUUCUUAGAUUUGUUAAAGACAAACUAAUGCGAAAGCAUUUGCCAAGGAUGUUUUCAUUAAUCAAGAACGAAAGUUAGGGGAUCGAAGACGAUCAGAUACCGUCGUAGUCUUAACCAUAAACUAUGCCAACUAGAGAUUGGAGGUUGUUCCUUACUCCUUCAGCACCU
rnacentral:rRNA from 1 species